rnacentral:rRNA from 1 species
UACGAAGGGGGCUAGCGUUGUUCGGAAUUACUGGGCGUAAAGGGCGCGUAGGCGGUGUGUCAAGUCAGGCGUGAAAGCCCCGGGCUCAACCUGGGAACAGCGCUUGAGACUGGCACGCUCGAGUUCGGGAGAGGGUCGUGGAAUUCCCAGUGUAGAGGUGAAAUUCGUAGAUAUUGGGAAGAACACCGGUGGCGAAGGCGGCGACCUGGUCCUUGACUGACGCUGAGGCGACGAAAGCGUGGGGAGCAAACAGG